GCGGGAAUAGCUCAGUGGUAGAGCCCUACCUUGCCAAGGUAGUUGUCGCGGGUUCGAGUCCCGUUUCCCGCUCCA
rnacentral:tRNA from 1 species